UUAUUUUUCAUGUGUUCAUGAAAUGCCCCCAAGUGAUAUUUCCUUUAUGCUCCAGGGAACAAUGAAUAUGCCACUUAAAUUCUCAGAGGACAUGAAUUCCAAAAUGAUUGCUAGCGACAUUUAAAAAGCUAAGAACUACUGCCUUCACCAUGAAGCUCUUGAAUCUUCUCCAAUUCAGACUCAGAAUUUUCACUUUUCUAACAAACAUAUCAUGGAGAAAAUGGAGAGGACUUAGCGAAAGGCAAGCCUUUUCUUUGCAUUUCCUGUUGCUUUCUGGAAUCAGUUGCUUGACCAUUUCUAUCAACUCAUUCAUUUGCACCUGUGAAGCUGUGAUUUCCAACACCUUCUGGAAUUGGCAGACUUGUCAGUGCAGUGUUAAGUCUUCUGUACCUGACUGUUACUUUUUUUUUCUUUACUUUUUUCUUUGUUUAGUAAAACCAACAGAAAAGAUGAAGCAAACAUUAGUACUUUUGUAAUGAACAUGGACUUCAGUUGCAUUUUGCUCUUUUUACUGAAAAACACGUGGUCAUGAGUAACAUUCAUGCCAGGGAAGCUAUUUUUUUUUCCCUGAAUAUCUGCAGUGAUUAGGUUGAGUUCUCUAAAUGCAUCUUCAUCAUGUUGCAUAUCAGCAAGACUCAUUUCAAAUGCACGGUACUUCAUGCAACUUUUAAUCCCUAUAAGUAGUAUUUAUACAGUAUUUCUUUUAUUGAACCAAGCAGGUUCCUUCAUGUUACACCAGUGUUUCUUAGAAAACGGAUCAGUCACUGUCUUCAGCACUCGUAAAGGGAGUGCCACCUUUCCAUUUCUUGCCAACUGCCACAGAGGUGCUGAGAGAACCAAACGCCGUAUUAUUUUUUUGUUUGUGCUUAUUUUCCACUCAACUUACGUUUAUUAUUUUUGUCACAUAAAGAUUGACACUGCAAUAUACCUUCUACAUAAGAAGAUGCAAAGAGAUCCAAACUGAGUCUCAAGUAAAAUGAUUCAUGAAAGAACAUUUAUUAACAAGUUUCUUCCUGAACUUUCAACUGCUUUAAAACACAAGAAGUAUUUCCUGCACUUAAAUUUGCAUUUGCUAGUUUUUUUACUCUAUUAACAUGUAUUUCUUUACAUUUAUGAGUAGUGUACAAGCUUUUUGUUACUUUAGCUUAAAUAUCACAGAGGAGCUACUCAGCAGGGAAGGAGUAUUAUUGGAGCCUAUGCUUUGGAGGCUCAUAGUCUAAUAUCAGGAAGCCCCCAUUAGUCUGGAGGCUGGCAGAGGCUGAAGUAGCUGAUCAUAAGAGCAUAUGUAGAGGAAGUCACGUGGACCCCAGAAGCAGAGAAACACGCAGGAUGCCAGCUUGGCCUGUAUGUCUUGAGAACCACCCUCUGAGGGCAAGCCGGCAAUGACCUGAACACCUCCCAUCAGGCCCACCUGCCAGGUAGUAAAAUUAGAUCAAGUCCAACCUUAUAUUGUUAACUAUUAACAAAAGACUUUGGGGUUUAAGUACCUCCAUGAAUUUGGGGAGCCAAAUCCUGUUCAACCUGUAAUAAGAAGAACAGGUUGGGUGAGACUGCUGUGCUUAAAAAUGCUGAGAUUCUCUUCUUAUUCAGCUUAAUGAUACUGCCUCAACUAAGCACUUCAUUUCAUUUGCAGUAUUUCUAAUCUCUGUUAAGAACAAAAAAUAGGCUCUGAAAAAUUUGGAAUCCUAUUGUAACUCUCUUGCCUCGUUGCUCAUGUGUUUUCUUCCCAAGGGCCAAGACCAAGUCUUGCUUCUCUUUGUUCGCCUUUGCUUUGGAUCUGCCCACAGAAGGGACUCCACGAGUCUGCAGAGCAAAACUACCCUCAGUUGUCCUCCAAGGAGAAAAGAGAUGAGCUGCAAGAAAAGACAAAGGACUGUCAGAGAAUCUGAAAUCUGGAAGGACAACAAGGCCCUCGAGAAGGAAGUUCUGGGAAGCUUCAUGACUGGCCGUGCACAAACAGGAUGCCACUGCUCUUCACACUUUUCCUGUCAGAGAGAAGAACCCAGUCCCAGCCCACUCCAGCUGUGGAGUUUUGCUUCCCUUUUAUUUCUGAGAGCCAAAUGGGAGCUGGAGUGGGAAACUACAGUUGUGUAUUUGUUGGACUUUGUCAUGAUGCACUCUGAACAAGAUUUACAGGGGCGAUGACCGCUCUGUGUUUGGAAGCUCCUUGCUCUCUCUCUUCUUGAUGCUAUAGGACAUACAGCAAUCUAUGAAAUACCACUCACACUAAAGU